CAGACCUGGGUUCAAAUUAUGGCACUAUCACUUUCUAGUAUCCAAUUUAAAGAAAGAUGCUUAAUCACUGAGUUUUGGUUUCUUGAUCUACUUAACAGGAAAAUACUAGCACUUACUUCAUGGCUGUGAGAAUUAUCUUCUUUCUCUGCCCCUAAUUCUCUCUAAUUUUA